rnacentral:rRNA from 1 species
CGGUCCAGACUCCUACGGGAGGCAGCAGUAGGGAAUCUUCCGCAAUGGGCGCAAGCCUGACGGAGCAACGCCGCGUGAGUGAAGAAGGUUUUCGGAUCGUAAAGCUCUGUUGUAAGAGAAGAACAAAUUGGAGAGUAACUGCUCCAGUCUUGACGGUAUCUUACCAGAAAGCCACGGCUAACUACGUGCCAGCAGCCGCGGUAA